rnacentral:tRNA from 1 species
GGGUAGGUAGUCUAGCAUGGUAUGAUUCUGGUUUCGGGAACCAGAGGUCGUGGGUUCAACUCCCAUCCUACCCA